UGCCGCCGCGGGAGCCGGAGAGCCAGCUGGCGGGCGGGCUGGAGAGGGGGUGGCGGGGAGGGCGAGGCGGCUGCGGGGCGCAGGGCAGUGGUCUGCAGGGCUUCAGCCUCCCGAGGGCCAGCCUCGCCGAGCCCGGAGCUGGGUCUGAACCCCGCGCACACCAAAGACGAGGCGGCUGUGGCGGCAGCGGCGGCCCCAGCCAUGCUGUGCUAUGUGACGAGGCCGGACGCGGUGCUGAUGGAGGUGGAGGUGGAGGCGAAAGCCAACGGCGAGGACUGCCUCAACCAGGUGUGCAGGCGAUUGGGAAUUAUAGAAGUUGAUUAUUUUGGACUGCAGUUUACGGGUAGCAAAGGUGAAAGUUUAUGGCUAAAUCUGAGAAAUCGGAUCUCCCAGCAGAUGGAUGGGCUGGCCCCUUACCGGCUUAAACUGAGAGUCAAGUUCUUCGUGGAGCCUCAUCUCAUCUUACAGGAGCAGACUAGGCAUAUCUUUUUCUUGCAUAUCAAGGAGGCCCUCCUGGCAGGCCACCUCCAGUGUUCACCAGAGCAAGCGGUGGAACUCAGUGCCCUCCUGGCGCAGACCAAGUUUGGGGACUACAGCCAGAACACAGCCAAGUACAGCUCUGAGGGGCUGUGUGCCAAGGAGCUCUCCAGUGCCGCCUUGAGCAGCAUUGUGGCAAAGCAUAAGGAGUUGGAAGGGACCAGCCAGGCUUCGGCUGAAUACCAAGUUUUGCAGAUUGUGUCGGCAAUGGAAAACUACGGCACAGAAUGGCAUUCUGUGAGGGACAGCGAAGGGCAGAAACUCCUCAUUGGGGUUGGACCUGAAGGAAUCUCAAUUUGUAAAGAUGACUUCAGCCCAAUUAAUAGGAUCGCUUACCCUGUCGUGCAGAUGGCUACCCAGUCAGGGAAGAACGUGUACCUCACCGUCACCAAGGAGUCUGGGAACAGCAUCGUGCUCCUGUUCAAGAUGAUCAGCACCAGGGCAGCCAGCGGGCUCUACCGAGCCAUCACCGAGACGCAUGCUUUUUACAGGUGCGACACGGUGACCAGUGCCGUCAUGAUGCAGUACAGCCGAGACCUGAAGGGCCACUUGGCUUCUCUGUUUCUGAACGAAAACAUCAACCUGGGCAAGAAGUAUGUCUUCGAUAUUAAAAGAACCUCCAAGGAGGCGUAUGACCACGCCAGGAGGGCUCUGUACAACGCAGGUGUGGUGGAUCUCGUGCCGAGAAGCGACCCCAGCCCCCCAAACUCUCCCCUGAAGUCCUCGGAGAGCAGCAUGAGCUGCGGCAGCUGCGAGGGCCUUGGCUGCCAGCAGACCCGGGCCCUCCAGGAGAAGCUGCGCAAGCUCAAGGAGGCCAUGCUGUGCGUGCUGUGCUGCGAGGGUGAGAUCAACUCAGCCUUCUGCCCCUGCGGCCACACUGUGUGCUGCGAGGGCUGCGCCACCCAGCUCCAGUCCUGUCCUGUCUGCAGGUCACGGGUGGACCACGUCCAGCAUGUCUACCUGCCGACCCACACCAGUCUUCUCAACCUGACUGUGAUCUGAUCUGCUGUGCACUUACCAGACAUGCCAUGUCUCCAUGAACUGCACUAGUAUAAACUAUAAACAUGAUAGAUUGUGGAGAGAAUAAAUACUCCAACGCCCAUCUGCCAUGCAACGUUUAGGGGAAAAAAAAAAAAAGAAGAAUAGAAACAGUAUGACUACUCCUCACCACCAAAAUGUACCAUGCGUAGAAUCAGCACCUCCGGGUUGGUGACCAGGAAGAGCUCUGGGACCCAGACACAUUCCUUGGACUUUUCUUCUUUUUAUGAUCAAGUAAAGAAAUCAGGAAGAUCUUUGACGUCAGUUAAGUGGCAGCAUAGCCCAAAAGAUUGGAAUGUAGGUGAAAAUAGGGUAAUAUACGCAAGCAGACGAAAAGUAAAAAUUGGGAAAAGGACUGUAAAGUAUUGGAGAAGGAGGGGAAUGGCGAAGUUGGAAGUUAAAACUGUAAACCCAGAUGAUGCCGCUAGUGCGUUGCCUGGUCAGGACAGAAAUUAAAUAAUAUUCAAAAUGAUAGAAUAUUAACACUGGAGAGGAUCUUAAAUGUGGUAGUCUCAAAAUGCUGACCAGAAUAAUGGAUGGAUGGAUGACAGGCCAACAAAUGGAUAAGAUAUUGUUCACCCCACUACACCAUGGACUCCUCAAGCUCAGUGACUAACAUGAAAACUACUGUAUUACAAGACACUGUAAGCAGCGACAAAGAGAGGAAACAAGAAAAUGAGCCUAAUAAAUAUAAGGAAGGAAAACACGGAGGAAGAAAGAACAAAGGAAUGGAAAAUAUUUUUCUUUAAACUCAGGAAAACCAAAGACUGCUUAUCUCAAUGCUACUGGAUGUCAGCGACCAGGGCCCGCACCACCUCGGGUAUCUCCUGCACCUGGACAAGGCAUCCAGCUGACAUAUUGCUGUUUGACACAUUGCUGCCUAUAAACACAUCUGCUCAGGGCACUUGCCACUGCCAGCAGAGCUCAACCCAUACUCCUUGAAAGUCAAAACCCUUCAUCACUUAGCCUCUACAUACCUUUCUAGACUGGGUUCUUGUUCCACCUGUUACCCCACCAGUGCCGAGACUGGAGUAAACUAUUCAGCUCUUCUGAAUGUGGUUUGCAUCCUCUCUCUUCGCACUCCUGGACCUUUGCUGAAAUGUUUCCUAAUGCCUGGAGAGCUUUUUUUUCUUGCCUAUUUGCAUCAUGGCUGUACUCAUCUGACCUAAACUUUCUUCAGGCUCCAGCUUAAAUCUCCUCACUUGCACAAGUUCUUCCACAAAUCUUCCCUCCUCUGUCAAAAUGAAUUUUCUUCCAUUAUAACUGAGAGCACUGUGCACCAACACAUAGCAUCAGAGGGUUUUUGUUUGCAUUUUAAUGCAUAUGCCUGGAUUACAAUAGUUCCUCCUUUGUACUUACCGUUAUCUAGCAUACUAUAUAUUUACUUAUUUAUUUCUUUAUUGUCUGUCUGCAUAAAGUACAGGGACUUUGUCUACUUUGUUUAUUGCUGUAUCCCCAUCGCCUGAAC